UGGCUUUUCAGCCUUUUCACAUUGACUAUGUAUUUAUAGUUUAUCUUUCUUGUAUUAAUUUAUUCAUUACAUAUUUCACCAACACCUAUUAACACGUCUUUCUCUUUUAUUUUUUGUCACUAGGUCGACGUUGGGGAAACAUUGAAAAAUGUAUGUUUACGGGAAUGUAACUUAAUAGGCCUGUUUAUUUGAAAAAUACUCGUGAUUUCUUAGUUAACGGUGGAGGCCAUAAGCAUCAAAUUUUACUUUUUAAAAUAGUAAUGGAAUUUGAUUCCUCGCCAGUGUUUUUGAAUUCAGAAAAAAUUACAAGAUACAUUGAUGGAAGAUGGGACUCCCUGAUUUCAUGCCUUGAGACAUCUUUUGUCCUUUACUCAAGCGAUGAUGGUCAAGUUAUUCAGCCUGUAAGAGAGAACGUGACCGUUCGGGAUUAUAAUGGGUUAUUGUUUUCCAUGCCAGUUUGCAGCUCUCCACACGAAGCACUAGCAACUAAGAUCAUCACUGUAUAUAACGAUAAUCACUUGAGGGGACUGCCGAGAAUUCAAGGAGUUAUAUUACUUUUCAGUGCAGUAGAUGGUGUUUUGAAGGCGAUAUUGGAAGCUCCUGUCAUUACUGCCAAAAGAACAGCAGGUGCUACUGCAGUAGCUACUAAGUACUUAGCAUCAGAAAACCCCAAAAUACUGGCCAUCCUUGGAGCAGGUGUUCAAGCAAGAAGCCAUUUUGAAGUAUUAACUCAUUUGUAUAAUUUUGAAGAGGUGAGAAUUUGGAACAUUCAUCAGAAUAAUGGUGAAAAGCUGGUGAAAGAACUUAACGACAAAGGCUUUCAUUGUGUGUGUUGCUCGAAUGUGGAAGAAGCUGUGAGAGAUGCAGACAUUAUUGUAACAGCCACUUUUUCAAAAACUCCUAUCCUGAAAGCAGUGUGGGUUAAACCAGGAGCUCAUAUCAAUGUGAUUGGUGCUUCAAAUCCAACAAGCCAGGAAUUGGACCCUGAGUUGAUGAGAUCUGCUGUUGUCUAUACUGAUAGUAGAGAAGCUGCUUGUGUAGAAUCGGGAGACAUUAUUAUUUCAGAAGUAGAAGUGUAUGCAGAGAUUGGAGAAGUAAUUUUGGGAAAGAAAGAAGCCUUCAGAGAUAAAACAACUGUAUUCAAAUCACUUGGUAUGGCUGUACAGGACUUGGUUUCAGCCAAACUUGUUUAUGAUGCUUACACUUCAGAUCUCCAGAAGUAAUUUUAUGAAAUGUAUUGGUCAAGUUAACCAAGGCCCACAACACAAGUGUUGAAUAUCAUCAUUAUAAAAGAUAUAAUAUAACAGUGAAUGUUAAAAAUCUUUAAUAAUACCUACAGUAUUUUAUUUUAGGAUUUUUGAAGAAAUAUUCAUUUUUAAUUGUUUUCGUAGGAGGACAGUAAGUGUCUUAGUAGUUGCUAUUUUCUUAGAGUACAAAACUUACAAGAAUGCUGCUACAGUAGUUAAUCAUGUACUACUAUUAUAUAUCCAAGUAAAUGUGUAUUAUAUACUAUUGUUUACAGAAAAUGCACUGCUAUGUUAUUUGUGUUUGGUAUGCGAAUCUUAAUUAGGUUUUAAAAAGAGAUUAAUAAUUAUGCCAUAUUAUACAAUUAAAUUUGAUAAAUAUUGUUUAUAUUAAUACAUAUAACUUGAGGUUUAAGGUUACAUACAAAUGAUUACAUUAGUUAAUAGAUUUUCUCUACUUACCUAUGUAAUGACUAGAUGCAAAGAUUAAUAAAAUUUUAUUUUUUAAGAACCA
rnacentral:misc_RNA from 1 species